AGUGAACGCUGGCGGUAGGCCUAACACAUGCAAGUCGAACGGCAGCACAGUAAGAGCUUGCUCUUACGGGUGGCGAGUGGCGGACGGGUGAGGAAUACAUCGGAAUCUACUUUUUCGUGGGGGAUAACGUAGGGAAACUUACGCUAAUACCGCAUACGACCUACGGGUGAAAGCAGGGGAUCUUCGGACCUUGCGCGAUUGAAUGAGCCGAUGUCGGAUUAGCUAGUUGGCGGGGUAAAGGCCCACCAAGGCGACGAUCCGUAGCUGGUCUGAGAGGAUGAUCAGCCACACUGGAACUGAGACACGGUCCAGACUCCUACGGGAGGCAGCAGUGGGGAAUGUUGGACAAUGGGCGCAAGCCUGGUCCAGCCAUACCGCGUGGGUGAAGAAGGCCUUCGGGUUGUAAAGCCCUUUUGUUGGGAAAGAAAAGCAGCAGGUUAAUACCCCGCUGUUCUGACGGUACCCAAAGAAUAAGCACCGGCUAACUUCGUG
rnacentral:rRNA from 1 species